rnacentral:rRNA from 1 species
GACGAACGCUGGCGGCGUGCCUAAUACAUGCAAGUAGAACGCUGAAGAGAGGAGCUUGCUCUUCUUGGAUGAGUUGCGAACGGGUGAGUAACGCGUAGGUAACCUGCCUUGUAGCGGGGGAUAACUAUUGGAAACGAUAGCUAAUACCGCAUAACAAUGGAUGACCCAUGUCAUUUAUUUGAAAGAGGCAAAUGCUCCACUACAAGAUGGACCUGCGUUGUAUUAGCUAGUAGGUGAGGUAACGGCUCACCUAGGCGACGAUACAUAGCCGACCUGAGAGGGUGAUCGGCCACACUGGGACUGAGACACGGCCCAGACUCCUACGGGAGGCAGCAGUAGGGAAUCUUCGGCAAUGGGGGCAACCCUGACCGAGCAACGCCGCGUGAGUGAAGAAGGUUUUCGGAUCGUAAAGCUCUGUUGUAAGUCAAGAACGAGUGUGAGAGUGGAAAGUUCACACUGUGACGGUAGCUUACCAGAAAGGGACGGCUAACUACGUG